AUCGAGUUGACGUCCUCAUCGUCUCGGGCGCAUUAAUUAAGACUGCGAGCAAGACGCCAAAAGACUUUUUAAAAAUAUGUAUAUAUUAUGGAGAGGAAAAUAAUACAAAUGUGUUGAGAGUUGGCAGCCCCAAAAAAGAAACGUGACUCAGGUGCCAUAAAAAAGGGGGCUUCCAAUCAAAUCCCGCAUUCGAAAUGCCUGGACGUACGCGAUCACAUCCAUAGAUGAUGUGUGCCUGAUAAGUGCCAGUUCUCUGAGGCUGUUGGACUGGAACUGGGAUCGGUAGAUGGGGGGCGCCAAAAUGAUGUUAAUCCUCCACCCCUUCUUGCAUUCACACAUCAAAAUGAGUUUUGAGAUAUCUUCGACUCGUAUCUUUCCACAUAAAAGAUUUCUUUUCAUUUAACGCCACAUAAUUUGUGAAAUGUUAUGUGCCGCGAUUGAAAUCUCAUUAAGUGAAUAACUUCUGGAUAUCACAAGGACAUACGACUUAAAGCAGGGGAGGCAAUAAUCUCGGAACUCAUUUGUUUUUGUAACUGAUCUAUGCUUAUGUGUUUGGCAGGCUCAUAAAUACCACAUUUCACAAAUUUCUUUUUACGUCAAUAUUCCUUUCUGAUAAGACUGAGUAAGCCAACAAACAAUUUUA